GAGUGGGGGGCGUGCAGAGAGUGCUCUAGUAGAAGCAGUGAGCUCCGUAGCCGCCAGGUUCGGAAGAGCAGCCAGGAUUUCCCCGCAGGUGGAGAGAACCGUGGCCGGGACCUCUGGCACCCUCUGGGGAGAAAGGUGCGGCUCACCCCUAGCAAGGGCUUAGAGGUGGCUCCGCCCGCGGCUCCACCACCCCACACCCCACCCCAAAGGUGCGUGCGCAGGAGCUGCGGUUGCAAUCUGUCGAUCAGGGAAGGGGUGACUCGGGGAGAAUCGGGACAGACUAGAUGGCUUGCAUACUCCAAGACACACUAGAUGCAGUGUAGACAGGAUCGUCCUCUGCCUCCCGGGAGGGCAGGGACCGCCUUGCCCUUGCUGUGGAUGCGCCCUCCUGCCUGGCGCGAGUCCCUUGACAGAGAAGACAGAGGUUGAACUGGGAAGGUGGGUGAAGUGCCCAGGACCUGGGCUGUGGUAAGCAUCCCAAAAGAAGGGCUUGGGAACUCACUAAAGAAGCCUAGGGGUCUGGGGAGGCGACCAGCGGACAAAGCCAAGGCUUGUCCAGGAAGGUGUCUCCUAGGAACUCGCCUAGCUCCUAGGACCUGCAGCUUUCUGUCCCUCUUCGCCCCCGCAGCGUUCUCUGAGCUCCACAGGAGGGCACACCGCGGCGGCGCCUCUGCGCUGUCAGUUUUGGCGCAGCGCAAGGCCUGGGCACUCAUCCUCAGCCAUCCCGUCUUUCCUGCAGCCAGCGCGACUGUCUCCAGAGCAGGCUGUCCCUUGUCCCCCACGGGGCCCCUCCCCGACAUCCUCACAGAGCUUAGCUCUCAGCAUUUCUUCUCAGCCUUUCCAAAUCUGCUCUCCUCUCUCUCUCUCUCUCUCUCUCUCUCUCUCUCUCUCUCUCUCUCUCUCUCUCUCUCCUGGCAGAUUCCUCCCAGCCCGCCAUAGGCCCUCUCCCGUUUCUCCUACUUCUUCCUGUCCUCGGUCUGAAUUUGACUUCAGUACCCCUAAAACAGGAUUUGCACCAAAGCUGCUAAGCUAAAUUUCUAUCCCCAUACUCCCUGGCGUUUGUUUUUUAAUUGUAUUAACUAAGUAUGCUCUUUGCUGUCAGCUGGCGAUUCACAGGGAAACAAUGUUUUCACUGCCCUCUCCUCAGUUUGACUUCAGCUGCAGGACUCUUUGGUGACAUUUUCAAAGGACCCAGAAGUUGGGCCACGUGUAAAAUGGUAUGCUAGGAUCCCCUUGAUUGCAAAAUUAUGGGAGGGUUUAUUGGGACUGUGGAGCAAGUUUUCUCCAAACCAAAGAGUUUAGCUAAGCUCCCCCUUCCUUUGAAUAAAUGGCACCUUUUGGUGUUUGGAAUAAGAUUUAUAGAUGCAACACCCGGCCACCUUGGUAGACCACACCAGCCUUAGAGCCAAGACUGACUGCAGGGGAAUGUACUCCAGCCCAUUCCCCACCUGGAAGAGGGGUGAGACUCCUGACUGUCAGCUUCCUCACAGUGAGAUCUCAGAAUCAGGGUGGGAGGUGCCCACACCUGCCAUCUUGUCCAUCUCACAAACACAAGUGUUGGUGUGAGAGCUGAUGGCAGCGGACACUUAUCUGUGGAUUGCAGCAUAGCCCCUCAGCUUACUUUUAUUAAAAAUCAAUAACUAACUGAGUACUGGACAACCUGGGGGCUUGUGGAGCAAUCACUGGGCCCAGUGGCCCCAUUUACUUUCUGCCUCUUGGUUAAUAUUCCCAACAGCAAAGUGGAGAAACUGACUCAGCCCAAAGCAAUGAAAAAAGCAUCCCAGGGUAGUUUGUGGAGUGAAUGCUAGAACUGACAUUUGACUCAAAAAAAAAAAAAUCUGCUUCCAGAGCCUGUGGCCUAGCCACUUCCUGUGCCUUCUUAAUGGAUAUUCGAUCCACCUUCUGUUAUAUAUUUGUAUGUUUAAUGUCUCCAAGCACUGCCAUGUAAACAACAUGACUAAAAGGGCCAUGGUUAUCUGUGUUCCCCAGCACACAGACAAAAGUUACUUAGGAGCUAUGUUAGCUAAUUGUUUGGUUAAUUGAGAUGUUUAACAAGUUCUGAGUCAGGACAGUGCUUGUCCCAAAGGCAUGAAGACCUGAGUUCAGUCCCUAGAGCCUACAUGAGAAAGCAGAGCACAGUGGAUACACUCCCAGUCCCAGUGCUGGAGAAGUGACAGGCAGAUCCCUGGGACAUGCUGGCCUGACCUAGCUGUGCAUCUCCAGACAAUGAGAGAGACAGCAGUCCUAAAACCAAGGUGGAGGGGCUGGAGAGACGGCUGAGAGGCAAACUCUGGAUGGGAAAAUCCACUUCAGGACCUGCCUCCAGUUUCUGCACAAGCCUUGUCUUCGGGACUUUGGACUCGCUGGCUGCUGCUCCCAGCUUUAAUUAAUAGAGACUGCCCCCUGUUUGCAACAAGAAAAUUGCAGGAGCUGUGCUUCAGAAGGAAGCAGCCUGAGAUCCACCCUGCCUGCCUCUUUCCUGGAAGAACCCUACCUAAGCCUCCUCCUCCAAUUCCCCAGGAGUGUUCUGACUCGGUUCCCUCCCUCCCUGCAGUGGCUGUGCCUGCUGGAAUUGCCCCAGCCUAUGUGUCAAGCCUUUGAAAAAUAUUUGGGAGAAUCAUCUUUGUUCUCUUCACUCUUCAGAGAGAGGGGAAAAUGCCCAUUUUCACUGGAUACGUCAACUUAGCAAGCAUAGCCACUACCUCCUGAUGGGGUAUGAUUGCUUGGCAUACAUGACUAAAAGGGUAUUUCUUUUAAGGCUUCUGUGUGGAGGCAGGGGGUUAUAAAGUUGCUCACUGAAACACCUGGCAAGUUCAUGGACAAAGAAAAAUUAUAACGAAUUUCUCCCCAAAACCAUUUCAGGAACAAAUCCACGUGACCACGUCACGAGGAUUCAUGAAGUCUUCUUUUCUAAAAAAGAGAUGAAGAUGCCAUAAUUUUACAGCACAGGCCCUUUUGAUAUCUAAAAAAGAAUAUCUUUGGCUCUGGCCUCAAUUUUUCGGCUCUAGUACCCACUACAACAAGCAUGCAAUUGUACCCGCUAACAAUUCGAGAGGGGAUGGACAGAGGAGGCUGCUGGGACUGCCUUGAAAGCGGUGUUUAAAAGCCAUGCAGCAGAUUCAAUGAUCUGCACUGUGGCCCUGCCUGGAUGAGUUGUUUGUUAAUCUUCCUCAUCAGGUGGCUUCUACGGUUUCAAAGAGGUUUCCAAGCAACUGUUAGCCUUGAGGGGAAAGGGGGGAGAGUGACAGAGAGGCAAAUUGUAGCAAGCCUUGUGUGCUUCCAGAGCACAUAUCUGAUGGAUUUUACUCUCCACGUCUGGAGAGGUAAAGGAGCCUCACAGAAGAAGGUCGAAGUGUGGUUUCCCUGCACUGGUGCUGGUCCCCACCACGGAGAUUUCACUUGUCAAUAGUGUCUCACUUGUUUCAUUACGUGUGAGGGGGGAAAAAAAGCACAUCCGCCAAAUGAAUUCAUAGGCAGAAGUGUUAGAGUGUAGUUGAUUCUUCUAGACUCUUUAAUGUAAAGUCAAUUUGAGAAAAAUAAACCCACUGUAGUAUUUACAACAAAGAAAAGGAGAUGGAGUGUCUGAUACUGAAAGCUAAAGCUGGGGAGGUGGGCUUUGGUUUCAAACUGCUUUUCCUGGUCUCAGCGCUACUAUCAUUUGGGAAUGGGCACACCUGUGUCAUGAGGGCAUCCUGUGCACUGUGGGACUUUUGGCUGCAUCAUUAGCCCCUACCCACUCGAUGCCAAUAGCACCAUGCCCUCACCCCACUGUAACAACUAAACUUUUGAUGGACAUUGCCAAAUGUCUGCUGAAGAACAAAAUUAAAACCAAUUAAAGACCAAAA